rnacentral:piRNA from 1 species
UCCGAAUUGACAUGAUUUAGCCAGUCUGC